AACGAACGCUGGCGGCAUGCCUAACACAUGCAAGUCGAACGAGACCUUCGGGUCUAGUGGCGCACGGGUGCGUAACGCGUGGGAACCUGCCCUUAGGUUCGGAAUAACUCCCCGAAAGGGGUGCUAAUACCGGAUAAUGUCUUCGGACCAAAGAUUUAUCGCCUUUGGAUGUGCCCGCGUUGGAUUAGCUAGUUGUUAGGGUAAAAGCAUACCAAGGCGACGAUCCAUAGCUUGUCUGAGAGGAGGAUCAGACACACUGGGACUGAGAAACGGCCCAGACUCCUACGGGAGGCAGCAGUGGGGAAUAGUGGACAAUGGGCGAAAGCAUGAUGCAGCAAUGCUGCGUGAGUGAUGAAGGCCUUAGGGUUGUAAAGCUCUUUUACCCGGGAUGAUAAUGACAGUACCGGGAGAAUAAGCCCCGGCUAACUACGUG
rnacentral:rRNA from 1 species